rnacentral:rRNA from 1 species
UAACACGUGGAUAACCUACCUAUAAGACUGGGAUAACUUCGGGAAGCCGGAGCUAAUACCGGAUAAUAUUUUGAACCGCAUGGUUCAAAAGUGAAAGACGGUCUUGCUGUCACUUAUAGAUGGAUCUGCGCUGCAUUAGCUAGUUGGUAAGGUAACGGCUUACCAAGGCAACGAUGCAUAGCCGACCUGAGAGGGUGAUCGGCCACACUGGAACUGAGACACGGUCCAG